rnacentral:rRNA from 1 species
CCUACGGGAGGCAGCAGUAGGGAAUCUUCCACAAUGGGCGAAAGCCUGAUGGAGCAACGCCGCGUGAGUGAUGAAGGCCUUCGGGUUGUAAAACUCUGUCAUUCGGGACGAACCGGAGUCUGAGGAAAUGCAGACUCUCUGACGGUACCGGAGGAGGAAGCCCCGGCUAACUACGUGCCAGCAGCCGCGGUAAUACGUAGGGGGCAAGCGUUGUCCGGAUUCACUGGGCGUAAAGCGCGCGCAGGCGGUGAUGUAAGUCUGAGGUGAAAACCCGAAGCUCAACUUCGGGACUGCCUUGGAUACUGCGUCACUUGAGGAUAGGAGAGGCAAGGGGAAUUCCACGUGUAGCGGUGAAAUGCGUAGAGAUGUGGAGGAACACCUGUGGCGAAGGCGCCUUGCUGGCCUAUUUCUGACGCUGAGGCGCGAAAGCGUGGGGAGCAAACAGGAUUAGAUACCCUGGUAGUCCACGCUGUAAACGAUGAGUGCUAGGUGUAGGUGGGCUCAUACCCAUCUGUGCCGAAGCUAACGCAUUAAGCACUCCGCCUGGGGAGUACGGUCGCAAGACUGAAACUCAAAGGAAUUGACGGCUUGAGACNGCGAGACGACACGAGGGAGAGG